GAUAGCACCUUACUACUUGGAUAACCGUGGUAAUUCUAGAGCUAAUACAUGCUGCGAUCCCCGACUUCGGAAGGGGUGUAUUUAUUAGAUUAAAAACCAAUGCCCCCUGGGCUCUCUGGUGAUUCAUGAUAACUUGGCGAAUCGCACGGCCUUGCGCCGGCGAUGGUUCAUUCAAAUUUCUUCCCUAUCAACUUUCGAUGUUUGGGUAGUGGCCAAACAUGGUUGCAACGGGUAACGGAGGGUUAGGGCUCGACCCCGGAGAAGGAGCCUGAGAAACGGCUACUACAUCCAAGGAAGGCAGCAGGCGCGCAAAUUACCCAAUCCCGACACGGGGAGGUAGUGACAAUAAAUACUGAUACAGGGCUCUUUCGGGUCUUGUAAUUGGAAUGAGUACAAUUUAAAUCCCUUAACGAGGAACAAUUGGAGGGCAAGUCUGGUGAGCACGCUGGCGCCAGAGAGAGCCUCGCCCCCCGUGGUGGGGGGCCAGAGGCUAGUCGAGCGCUCGUUACUGUGACGGGUGAGCGCCGGCGAGACAACCUGGAUCGGGGAAGGCUAAGGGCCCUAGAGGCCUACGCUGAUCCCGAGCAGAGCCGCCCGGGCGGCCUGUGUAGAGCGCGCAAAGGUGUCGGUCCCUGGGCCUGCGGGCCCCGGGGCUUAAGGUACGUGCCAACCCCCCGCGAAAGCGGGGCCCUGCGGACGAGCACCCGUCGUGCGAAGCCGCAGGGGGGGGGGGGACAGAUCCGCUGACGGGCCGCGAGCGAGCCCGUCCGCGGGGCACGUCCGCCCACGCAAGCAGGCCAGCAGCCGCGGUAAUUCCAGCUCCAAUAGCGUAUAUUAAAGUUGUUGUGGUUAAAAAGCUCGUAGUUGAACCUUGGGCCUGGCUGGCCGGUCCGCCUCACCGCGUGCACUGGUCCGGCCGGGCCUUUCCCUCUGUGGAACCCCAUGCCCUUCGCUGGGCGUGGCGGGGAGACAGGACUUUUACUUUGAAAAAAUUAGAGUGCUCCAGGCAGGCCUAUGCUCGAAUACAUUAGCAUGGAAUAAUGAAAUAGGACGCGCGGUUCUAUUUUGUUGGUUUCUAGGACCGCCGUAAUGAUUAAUAGGGACAGUCGGGGGCAUCAGUAUUCAAUUGUCAGAGGUGAAAUUCUUGGAUUUAUUGAAGACUCACUACUGCGAAAGCAUUUGCCAAGGAUGUUUUCAUUAAUCAGGAACGAAAGUUAGGGGAUCGAAGACGAUCAGAUACCGUCGUAGUCUUAACCAUAAACUAUGCCGACUAGGGAUUGGACGAUGUUGAUUUUUGACUCGUUCAGCACCUUACGAGAAAUCAAAGUGCUUGGGCUCCAGGGGGAGUAUGGUCGCAAGGCUGAAACUUAAAGAAAUUGACGGAAGGGCACCACCAGGGGUAAACAGAACAGACGACGCAGUUGCUCUGCCCCUAAAAGCAGCCGGGAAACCGGUCCGGUGGGAUCCUUGGCCGGGCGGCCGAAACAAUGCUAGUCGGCCUCCGUCUCCGCGGAGAGCAGCCGGCGACACCCCCAAAUUGCGGGAAGUCCCUAAAGCCGACUAAGACCAAGCGGGCGCCGAAAGGCGUCUCGUGGCCGAGCUAAUAGCCCUGGGUAUGGUAACACGUUAGUCGGAUGGUACAAUGGGUGAUCCGCAGCCAAGCGCCUGCCCGGCGAGCGCCCCAGCGCGCCGCCGAAGGGCGAAGGUUCAGAGACUUGACGGGGGUGGGUCUGGGUACAAGUACGCUCGUGUCCCCUGACGGCGGACUAGUCUAGCGUUGACAGCGGGCGUUUGAAAUGUACCCGGGCUUGAGAGAAAGCCCGUCCCCGUGCGAAAGCGCGACGGAGCCCUGAAAAACGGGAGCCUGCGGCUUAAUUUGACUCAACACGGGGAAACUCACCAGGUCCAGACACAAUGAGGAUUGACAGAUUGAGAGCUCUUUCUUGAUUUUGUGGGUGGUGGUGCAUGGCCGUUCUUAGUUGGUGGAGUGAUUUGUCUGCUUAAUUGCGAUAACGAACGAGACCUUAACCUGCUAAAUAGCCCGUGCCGCUCCGGCAGACGCUGGCUUCUUAGAGGGACUAUCGGCUCAAGCCGAUGGAAGUUUGAGGCAAUAACAGGUCUGUGAUGCCCUUAGAUGUUCUGGGCCGCACGCGCGCUACACUGACGGAGCCAGCGAGUGCUCCCUUGGCCGGAAGGCCCGGGUAAUCUUGUUAAACUCCGUCGUGCUGGGGAUAGAGCAUUGCAAUUAUUGCUCUUCAACGAGGAAUCCCUAGUAAGCGCAAGUCACCAGCUUGCGUUGACUACGUCCCUGCCCUUUGUACACACCGCCCGUCGCUACUACCGAUUGAAUGGCUCAGUGAGGC
rnacentral:rRNA from 1 species